AUCUAUAGCCAUGCUACCCUGAACAAGCCUGAUCCCAUCUGAUUUCGGAAGCUAAGCAGGGUUGGGCCUGGUUAGUACUUGGAUGGGAGACCACCUGAGAAGACCAGGUGCUGUAGGUG
rnacentral:rRNA from 1 species